CCUAUGACCACAACGAUUGGCUGCUACUCAAGACGAGAGGGCUCAUUAAUAGCAUGGUUCUGCUCACUGAAAUAGGAGAGAUGCUGAACAAGACAGAUGAAGAACAAAUGGCCAAGUACACUUGCUGGAAGAUUGAUGAAACAGAGAGCACAGAGACAGAUGGCAAAGCGUAGCAAGGCCACAAGUUGAUCUAAGAUGUUUUGGUGAUUGCUUCGUUCAUAACAUGGUUGACACAUUUUGUUCACAUGGAAGUUAAUGUUGAUUUGGCGAUCAAAGACUUGGUCU